UCUUCCCUCUUUCUUCGUGCCUAAUACAUGCAAGUCGAGCGAACGGACGAGAAGCUUGCUUCUCUGAUGUUAGCGGCGGACGGGUGAGUAACACGUGGAUAACCUACCUAUAAGACUGGGAUAACUUCGGGAAACCGGAGCUAAUACCGGAUGAUAUUUUGAACCGCAUGGUUCAAAAGUGAAAGACGGUCUUGCUGUCACUUAUAGAUGGAUCCGCGCUGCAUUAGCUAGUUGGUAAGGUAACGGCUUACCAAGGCAACGAUGCAUAGCCGACCUGAGAGGGUGAUCGGCCACACUGGAACUGAGACACGGUCCAGACUCCUACGGGAGGCAGCAGUAGGGAAUCUUCCGCAAUGGGCGAAAGCCUGACGGAGCAACGCCGCGUGAGUGAUGAAGGUCUUCGGAUCGUAAAACUCUGUUAUUAGGGAAGAACAUAUGUGUAAGUAACUGUGCACAUCUGGACGGUACCUAAUCAGAAAGCCACGGCGAACUACGU
rnacentral:rRNA from 1 species